AGGCCGAUAGCUCAACGGGUAGAGCAGCGGUCUCCAAAACCGCAGGUUGGGGGUUCGAGUCCCUCUCGGCCUGCCA
rnacentral:tRNA from 1 species